rnacentral:rRNA from 1 species
UACGAAGGGGGCGAGCGUUGUUCGGAAUUACUGGGCGUAAAGGGCGCGUAGGCGGUCGGCCGCGUCAGAUGUGAAAGCCCCGGGCUCAACCUGGGAACCGCAUUUGAGACGGGCCGACUCGAGUUCGGGAGAGGAUGGUGGAAUUCCCAGUGUAGAGGUGAAAUUCGUAGAUAUUGGGAAGAACACCGAGGGCGAAGGCAGCCAUCUGGACCGACACUGACGCUGAGGCGCGAAAGCUAGGGGAGCGAACGGG